rnacentral:snRNA from 1 species
GUGCUUGCUUCCCCAGCACAUAUGCUAAAAUUGGAACAGCACAGAGAUUAGCAUGGCCCCCGCGCAAGGAUGACAUGCAAAUUCGUGAAGUGUUCCAUAUUUAA